UACGGAGGAUGCGAGCGUUAUCCGGAUUUAUUGGGUUUAAAGGGUGCGUAGGCGGGCCUUCAGGCCGGCGGUAAAAUUGCGGGGCUCAACGCCGUAUCGCCGUUGAAACUGAUGAUCUUGAGUGGGCGAGAAGUAUGCGGAAUGCGUGGUGUAGCGGUGAAAUGCAUAGAUAUCACGCAGAACUCCGAUUGCGAAGGCAGCAUACCGGCGCCCGACUGACGCUGAGGCACGAAAGCGUGGGGAUCGAACAGG
rnacentral:rRNA from 1 species